rnacentral:rRNA from 1 species
GACGAACGCUGGCGGCGUGCCUAAUACAUGCAAGUCGAACGAGAGCGACCGGUGCUUGCACUGGUCAAUCUAGUGGCGAACGGGUGAGUAACACGUGGGUAACCUGCCCAUCAGAGGGGGAUAACAUUCGGAAACGGAUGCUAAAACCGCAUAGGUCUUCGAACCGCAUGGUUUGAAGAGGAAAAGAGGCGCAAGCUUCUGCUGAUGGAUGGACCCGCGGUGCAUUAGCUAGUUGGUGAGGUAACGGCUCACCAAGGCCGUGAUGCAUAGCCGACCUGAGAGGGUGAUCGGCCACAUUGGGACUGAGACACGGCCCAAACUCCUACGGGAGGCAGCAGUAGGGAAUCUUCCGCAAUGGACGCAAGUCUGACGGAGCAACGCCGCGUGAGUGAAGAAGGUUUUCGGAUCGUAAAACUCUGUUGUUAGAGAAGAACAAGUGCUAGAGUAACUGUNAGCGCCUGACGG